rnacentral:rRNA from 1 species
GGACUACCAGGGUAUCUAAUCCUGUUUGCUCCCCUAGCUUUCGCGCCUCAGCGUCAGUUAUGGUCCAGUGCGCCGCUUUCGCCACAGGUGUUCCUUCCGAUAUCUACGCAUUUCACCGCUACACCGGAAAUUCCACGCACCUCUCCCAUACUCAAGCCCGACAGUUUCCGAUGCAGACUCUGAGUUGAGCCCAGAGAUUUCACAUCAGACUUGUCAAACCGCCUACGCGCCCUUUACGCCCAAUAAUUCCGAACAACGCUUGCCCCCCUCGUAUUACCGCGGCGGCUGGCAC